rnacentral:rRNA from 1 species
GUCCACGCCCUAAACGAUGUCUACUAGUUGUCGGAGGGUAACUCCUUCGGUAACGCAGCUAACGCGUGAAGUAGACCGCCUGGGGAGUACGGUCGCAAGAUUAAAAACUCAAAGGAAUUGACGGGGACCCGCACAAGCGGUGGAUGAUGUGGAUUAAUUCGAUGCAACGCGAAAAACCUUACCUACCCUUGACAUGCCACUAACGAAGCAGAGAUGCAUCAGGUGCCCGAAAGGGAAGUGGACACAGGUGCUGCAUGGCUGUCGU